rnacentral:snRNA from 1 species
AUCCUUACCUGGCAGGAGAGAUACCAUGAUCACGAAGGUGGUUUUCCCAGGGCGAGGCUUAUCCAUUGCACUCCGGAUGUGCUGACCCCUGAAAUUUCCCCAAAUGUGGGAAACUCCUGCAUAAUUUGUGGUAGUGGGGGACUAUGUUCCUGCUCUCCCC